UUUGUACUCGAAAGAGUUACUAAAAUUGGAAUGAUACAGAGAAGAUUAGCACGGUCCCUGCCCAAGGAUGACAUGCAAAUUCAAGAAGUGUUUAAAAAAAAA